AUGAACGCUAGCGACAGGCCUAACACAUGCAAGUCAGGGGCAGCACAAGGAGCAAUCUGAGGUGGCGACCGGCGCACGGGUGAGUAACACGUAUGCAACCUGCCUGUAAGCGGGGAAUAACCCGUUGAAAGACGGACUAAUACCGCAUAAUACUAAAUUACUGCAUGGUAAUUUAUUUAAACAUUUAUGGCUUACAGAUGGGCAUGCGCAUGAUUAGCUAGUUGGAGAGGUAACGGCUCCCCAAGGCAACGAUCAUUAGGGGUUCUGAGAGGAAGGUCCCCCACACUGGUACUGAGACACGGACCAGACUCCUACGGGAGGCAGCAGUGAGGAAUAUUGGUCAAUGGACGAGAGUCUGAACCAGCCAAGUCGCGUGCAGGAAGAAUGUCCCUAUGGAUUGUAAACUGCUUUUGCAGGGGAAUAAAGUGCAUCACGUGUGAUGUUUUGUAUGUACUCUGCGAAUAAGGAUCGGCCUAACUCCGGUGCCAGCCGCUGC
rnacentral:rRNA from 1 species